UGGGUCANNGNUAUCGGGGUCCGAUUUAGCNUGCUAGUCGCACGGGUUCAGACCCGUGGCGAAUAGCUCCGUAACACGUGGCCAAACUACCCUAUGGAGAGUGAUAACCUCGGGAAACUGAGGCUAAUAACUCAUACCGCUCCCGAGCUGGAACGCUGGGAGCUUCAAAUGCUCCGGCGCCAUAGGAUGUGGCUGCGGCCGAUUAGGUAGACGGUGGGGUAACGGCCCACCGUGCCGAUAAUCGGUACGGGUUGUGAGAGCAAGAACCCGGAGACGGAAUCUGAGACAAGAUUCCGGGCCCUACGGGGCGCAGCAGGCGCGAAACCUUUACACUGCACGAGAGUGCGAUAAGGGGACCCCGAGUGCGAGGGCAUACAGUCCUCGCUUUUCUGUACCGUAAGGUGGUACAGGAAUAAGGGCUGGGCAAGACCGGUGCCAGCCGCCGCGGUAAUACCGGCAGCUCGAGUGAUGACCGAUUUUAUUGGGCCUAAAGCGUCCGUAGCCGGCCACGUANGUCCGUCGGGAAAUCCACUCGCUUAACGAGUGGGCGUNCAGCGGAAACCACAUGGCUUGGGGCCGGAAGACCUGAGGGGUACGUUCGGGGUAGGAGUGAAAUCCUGUAAUUCU
rnacentral:rRNA from 1 species